AAAACCAGCUGGAAAGCCAAUCUGCGGAGAUCUACAUGCUGUAAAGCAAAGAUCUGCGGGUACUGCUGAAGAAGCAGAGAAUCAGAGAUAUCAAGAAACAACCCAAUCAGGGUACAGAAAGUCACAACGGGCAAAACAGCCACCAAGACAAAUCUGUAGGGGAACAAGAGAAGUCCCAAAGCAUCUCCAGGAGAUCCCA
rnacentral:lncRNA from 1 species